rnacentral:rRNA from 1 species
UACGUAGGGGGCGAGCGUUGUCCGGAUUUAUUGGGCGUAAAGAGCGUGUAGGCGGCCAGGUAGGUCUGCUGUGAAAACUCGAGGCUCAACCUCGAGACGUCGGCGGAAACCAUCUGGCUAGAGUCCGGAAGAGGAGAGUGGAAUUCCUGGUGUAGUGGUGGAAUGCGUAGAUAUCGGGAGGAACACCAGUGGCGAAGGCGGUUGCCUGGAGCUUUGCUGACGCUGAUGCGCGAAAGCGUGGGGAGCGAUCCGG